UGGCGGCGUGCCUAAUACAUGCAAGUAGAACGCUGAAGAGAGGAGCUUGCUCUUCUUGGAUGAGUUGCGAACGGGUGAGUAACGCGUAGGUAACCUGCCUUGUAGCGGGGGAUAACUAUUGGAAACGAUAGCUAAUACCGCAUAACAAUGGAUGACCCAUGUCAUUUAUUUGAAAGGGGCAAAUGCUCCACUACAAGAUGGACCUGCGUUGUAUUAGCUAGUAGGUGAGGUAACGGCUCACCUAGGCGACGAUACAUAGCCGACCUGAGAGGGUGAUCGGCCACACUGGGACUGAGACACGGCCCAGACUCCUACGGGAGGCAGCAGUAGGGAAUCUUCGGCAAUGGGGGCAACCCUGACCGAGCAACGCCGCGUGAGUGAAGAAGGUUUUCGGAUCGUAAAGCUCUGUUGUAAGUCAAGAACGAGUGUGAGAGUGGAAAGUUCACACUGUGACGGUAGCUUACCAGAAAGGGACGGCUAACUACGUGCCAGCAGCCGCGGUAAUACGUAGGUCCCGAGCGUUGUCCGGAUUUAUUGGGCGUAAAGCGAGCGCAGGCGGUUUGAUAAGUCUGAAGUUAAAGGCUGUGGCUCAACCAUAGUUCGCUUUGGAAACUGUCAAACUUGAGUGCAGAAGGGGAGAGUGGAAUUCCAUGUGUAGCGGUGAAAUGCGUAGAUAUAUGGAGGAACACCGGUGGCGAAAGCGGCUCUCUGGUCUGUAACUGACGCUGAGGCUCGAAAGCGUGGGGAGCGAACAGGAUUAGAUACCCUGGUAGUCCACGCCGUAAACGAUGAGUGCUAGGUGUUGGAUCCUUUCCGGGAUUCAGUGCCGCAGCUAACGCAUUAAGCACUCCGCCUGGGGAGUACGACCGCAAGGUUGAAACUCAAAGGAAUUGACGGGGGCCCGCACAAGCGGUGGAGCAUGUGGUUUAAUUCGAAGCAACGCGAAGAACCUUACCAGGUCUUGACAUCCCGAUGCUAUUUCUAGAGAUAGAAAGUUACUUCGGUACAUCGGUGACAGGUGGUGCAUGGUUGUCGUCAGCUCGUGUCGUGAGAUGUUGGGUUAAGUCCCGCAACGAGCGCAACCCCUAUUGUUAGUUGCCAUCAUUCAGUUGGGCACUCUAGCGAGACUGCCGGUAAUAAACCGGAGGAAGGUGGGGAUGACGUCAAAUCAUCAUGCCCCUUAUGACCUGGGCUACACACGUGUUACAAUGGUUGGUACAACGAGUUGCGAGUCGGUGACGGCAAGCUAAUCUCUUAAAGCCAAUCUCGGUUCGGAUUGUAGGCUGCAACUCGCCUACAUGAAGUCGGAAUCGCUAGUAAUCGCGGAUCAGCACGCCGCGGUGAAUACGUUCCCGGGCCUUGUACACACCGCCCGUCACACCACGAGAGUUUGUAACACCCGAAGUCGGUGAGGUAACCUUUUGGAGCCAGCCGCCUAAGGUGGGAU
rnacentral:rRNA from 1 species